AUUGAACGCUGGCGGCAUGCCUUACACAUGCAAGUCGAACGGUAACAGGUCUUCGGAUGCUGACGAGUGGCGAACGGGUGAGUAAUACAUCGGAACGUGCCUAGUAGUGGGGGAUAACUACUCGAAAGAGUGGCUAAUACCGCAUGAGAUCUACGGAUGAAAGCAGGGGAUCGCAAGACCUUGUGCUACUAGAGCGGCCGAUGGCAGAUUAGGUAGUUGGUGGGAUAAAAGCUUACCAAGCCGACGAUCUGUAGCUGGUCUGAGAGGACGAUCAGCAAAACUGGGACUGAGAAGCGGCCCAGACUCCGACGGGAGUCAGCAGUGGGGAAGUUUGGACAAUGGGCGCAAGCCUGAUCCAGCAAUGCCGCGUGCAGGAUGAAGGCCUUCGGGUUGUAAACUGCUUUUGUACGGAACGAAAAGCCCCGGGUUAAUACCCUGGGGUCAUGACGGUACCGUAAGAAUAAGCACCGGCUAACUACGUGCCAGCCGCCGCGGUAAGAC
rnacentral:rRNA from 1 species